UCAAUAAACCUGUAGGAACUUGAGGUAGUUUGUAUGCGACUCUAGUCUUGAGUUAAGGUUGUUUGGAAGAAGUUUCAAUAGGUUAACGACUGGUUAUUGAUAGGUCAAAGGUCAGAUAAAGAUGGCGGCGGAAGGUGUUGUGAAAGAUGUUGGUGAGAUCCAUGCCCGACUGUUGGACCACAGGCCUGUGGUGCAGGGAGAGAUCAAGUGCUUCAUAAGGGAGUUUGAGGGGAAGAGGAACCACCGUGAGGAGGAGAGACUGGAGGCUGUUCUGGGCCAUGCCCAACAGAUGGGACAAACUAUCCCAGCAUGCACCAUGCUCCUGGAGGACAACCUGGCACAGGUCACAGCUAACUUGAGAGUUGCCACAUCAAUGUGCGAGAAGAUCAGUGAAACAGAGGAGAAAAUGGCAAAGGCUGACCCCCUGAAGAACAGAAGGGAAGGGAGGAAGCAGGAGUGGGAUGCCUUCAUGUCGGACCAGUUCGGUCGGAGUGCAGAGGUCGACCGCGAACACGAGAUUCUGUGUGACAAAAUCACGGAACAGCACAGACUGAAGGAGGAACUGCUGAAAGAGGGGAAAGUGUCUAUGCCAUGAUCUUUCCAUUUUUACUCAUUCAAUGAACAUUGCAGAAAUAAUUAUAGUGAAGAUAUUCAUGGAUUAUGUUACUGGUUCUAAAAUGGUAAGAAUUAAACUGAGAAUUCAAAACGACACUGAGAAUUAGAAAAAUCUAUUGUGCAAUUUAUUAUACUGAAAUAAAAAUUUGAGUGUAAUGGUUUUGACAAGUGUUGCUACCAGACUGAGUACAUUUGGUGGUUCUACAGAAAUUAUGAUCAUCAUCAUUAGCAAAACAUAUAUAUUGGCAAAUGUUCAGGCCAAUAUACUGUUGUGUGUAAAGGUAAUUAAGGAGUAAAGGCACUUAUUCCUUUCAUCUGCUCUGCAAUAAACACUAUAAGUUGAUAACUGAAUAGUACAGAGUAUAUUAUAGAUUACUUUGCUUGUUAUCAAUAUUGUGAGAAUUAAAUAUUGAAAUUUUAUGAUAUGAUAUGAUACUAGGAAUUUGACAAAUUCUUUAUACUUUUGAUGAUCAGAAAUAAAAUAUCAUAUCAGUGAGCUUUUCAGAAGUAAGUGCUUCUAAUAUAAGGUACAGGUGGAAAGUAUGGCUAGAAUACUACAUGUCAUUCUAGUAAACUUUGUUCGAAGAAGUGGAUAUUCCAAGUUGAAUGUAAUAUAAUGUGUUUGGAAAUUUCCGAAUGUAUUGUAAUGUAUGAUUAGAAACUUAAUUUCAAAUGCUCUACCUCUAUGGUUAGAAUAAUUCCUCAUUCAGUACAGUGAGUUUAGAUAAAUUACAUUCCAUCUACGAAA